rnacentral:rRNA from 1 species
UACAGGGGGGGCGAGCGUUGUUCGGAAUUACUGGGCGUAAAGGGCUCGUAGGCGGCCAACUAAGUCACACGUGAAAUCCCCAGGCUUAACCUGGGAACUGCGUGUGAUACUGGAUGGCUUGAAUUCGGGAGAGUGAUGCAGAAUUCCAGGUGUAGCGGUGAAAUGCGUAGAUAUCUGGAGGAAUACCGGUGGCGAAGGCGGCAUCCUGGACCGACAUUGACGCUGAUGAGCCAAAGCUAGGGGAGCAAACAGG